AGCGAACGCUGGCGGCAGGCUUAACACAUGCAAGUCGAACGCCCCGCAAGGGGAGUGGCAGACGGGUGAGUAACGCGUGGGAACGUGCCCUUCGCUUCGGAAUAGCCCCGGGAAACUGGGAGUAAUACCGAAUACGCCGUAUUGGGAAAGAUUUAUCGGCGAAGGAUCGGCCCGCGUUGGAUUAGCUAGUUGGCGGUGUAAUGGACCACCAAGGCGACGAUCCAUAGCUGGUCUGAGAGGAUGAUCAGCCACACUGGGACUGAGACACGGCCCAGACUCCGACGGGAGGCAGCAGUGGGGAAUCUUGGACAAUGGGCGCAAGCCUGAUCCAGCCAUGCCGCGUGAGUGAAGAAGGCCUUAGGGUUGUAAAACUCUUUCGCCGGAGAAGAUAAUGACGGUAUCCGGAGAAGAAGCCCCGGCUAACUUCGUGCCAGCCGCCGCCGUAACAC
rnacentral:rRNA from 1 species